rnacentral:lncRNA from 10 species
CCUGGGUAAGUAGCUUCCCUUUUGGCCUGAGGACAAUUCUGCAGUGAGGGAGGCAGCUGAGAUCCCUAGCAGCCAACACUCCCAGCAGCUGGUAAGGGGCUCUGGGCCAAGCUCUAUAGCUCCCGUGCCGGGCAGUACCUUAGUGAGAAUUACAUAGCACGUUCUCUUUACACUAUAGAUUUUCUGCUAUGUAAGCUCAACUCUCCUCUUAUUGUUGGCCUGCAUCAGGCCAAUUUCAAACCCGUCAAAACAUAUUAUGGAGAAGCCAGGCUUGAACAAAACCCUCCACAUGGCACUUCCGGAAUUUAGGGCUGAUAUUGUGCAGGGCUGAUAUUGUUCUUUCUCCUCCCCACCACCUCCAUCCCCUCUCCCUUCAUUUCCUGAGGACAACACAUACUGACCAUUGGUAGCAUAGCAAAGAUGUCACACUCCAGAAAGAGUCACACCCUUUUUAAUUCAUCCAUUGCUACAGCUGUUCUA